CCCAUAACAGAUGGUUGUGAGCCACCAUGUGGUUGCUGAGACCUGAACUCAGGACCUCUGGGAGAGCAGUCAGUGCUCUUAACCACUAAGCUAUCCUGGCAGCUGAAAGCCAAGGAAUGAUGUUGGCCCUAGCACCAUAAAGUAGAGAGAGAAGAACCCAGAAGCCUUUGGCUUUAGCCACAGCUGAUUGGCGACAGACUCACAGCUUAGAAAACCCACAAGUCUCAGUCUGUGCACCCAUCCCUCCUUCCGCCCAAACCUCAGCUCUCCAGGGAGGACCGAUGGCUUCCGAGUAUCGGCAAAUGAAUUUGUACUAAAGUGUGAGUGUCUGAUGGAAAGCCCUGGUGGGUGUGCAGAGCCCGGAUAACAAAAAACGGGAGAGAAAGAAGGUAAGGGAAGGGCUGGAGAGAUGGCUCAGUGGUUUAAAGGCACUGACUGCUCUUCCAGAGGUCCUGAAUUCAAU